rnacentral:lncRNA from 1 species
UGAGGUGGUGCUAUGUAGCAGGAACCCCUCUUGCUUUGCAAAUAGUUUUUUGUUUGUUUUCCUUUUUGCCCAAUAGAGCCCUGCUCUACUGACCCUUCAAUGUGCCCGUGUGCCUAAAUAUUCCUGGUCGUGUGAAAAGAACCCAGGUAUUAGCUGAACUAAGGAGCACAAUUCUGCAACAUUUUGGCACCCAAACACGGGGCUUGAGAAAUGAAUGCAAUUGGAGAAACUGGUUGUUUUACCAGGCGUUGAUUGGAAAUGUGUGCUUCCCUUUAAGCAGUCAAGCUCAACUUGCAGAACUGAUGGGAACCCCUUGGGAAAACUGGCCUCAAAUGUUUGUCUACACAGUCCACAUACAGGGUUCUUAACCUGCGAUGAGGGAAACUUCCCAGGGCUUGUCUGGGUAUGCCCACAGUGGACUGGAGCCCAAAAUGCACACUGGAGGAAGUGGAUGGAGCCACGUGGAUGUCAUGCCUUAUGCAGGGGAGGAGCCUGCUCUCUUCAGCUCCUGUGGUAAUGUGGGAAUCGAUCUGUGAGGAAACACUUUCUGAAAAUGUCAGAACUCUUGAAAACAUGGAUGAGGAAAAGCAUAAGUACUGCUUUAUGCUUUUCUUAUGAAUUUUAAAAGAUGUAAUUUAAAGAUUGAAACUCCCACAACUUUGGCAGACCAACUCCUCAGAAAACAUUAUUCUUUGACAUCAAUAUGUUUUGCACAAAAUUGAAUGGCAAGUGAAAGGCAUCAAAUGGAGCUGUCAUUUAAAUGUGCUUGCCAACUAGCUUGUUUAUCAAAACAUUCCAGACCCUUUCAAAUUCUCAUUUACAUUGUUUCUUGUUUACCACACCCAUAAAUUUGUAUUACCAGCAUAUUUAACUAUCCGGCUAUUUUGGAGAUUGAAAAAAGAAGACCUGAUUUAUCAUGUGCAAUAUCUCACACAUCUGUCAUUUC